rnacentral:rRNA from 1 species
UACGUAGGGUGCGAGCGUUAAUCGGAAUUACUGGGCGUAAAGCGUGCGCAGGCGGUGAUGUAAGACAGAUGUGAAAUCCCCGGGCUCAACCUGGGAACUGCGUUUGUGACUGCAUCACUCGAGUACGGCAGAGGGAGGUGGAAUUCCACGUGUAGCAGUGAAAUGCGUAGAGAUGUGGAGGAAUACCGAUGGCGAAGGCAGCCCCCUGGGAUAACACUGACGCUCAUGCACGAAAGCGUGGGGAGCAAACAGG